AUCCUCUCAGGGUCGCACCUGGGGAGUUUCAAGUACUCUACCAAUCUCGGCUAUGGGAGGGAGAGUCAAGCAGAGGCGUAUGCAUUCCAUUCCUAGCUUGGGCAGGGGCUAGCGAGUGGAAGGCCAUCUGCUACAAGG
rfam:Ornithorhynchus anatinus chromosome 2, whole genome shotgun sequence.